rnacentral:rRNA from 1 species
UAAGUCGGAUGUGAAAUCCUACGGCUUAACCGUUAGAACUGCGUUCGAAACUGUCUAGCUUGAGUCCGGGAUGGGAUGGCGGAAUUCCUGGUGUAGGAGUGAAAUCUAUAGAUAUCAGGAAGAACACCGGUGGCGCAGGCGGCCAUCUGGCCUAGGACUGACACUGAGGCUCGAAAGCGUGGGGAGCGAACGGGAUUAGAUACCCCGGUAGUCCACGCCGUAAACGUUGUACACUAGGUGUUAGUGGUAUCGAUCCCACUAGUGCCGCAGUUAACGCAUUAAGUGUACCGCCUGGGGAGUAUGCCCGCAAGGGUGAAACUCAAAGGAAUUGACGGGGGCCCGCACAAGUGGUGGAGCAUGUGGUUUAAUUCGAUGAUACGCGAAGAACCUUACCUAGGCUUGACAUAUUCAGGAAUGUCUGUGAAAGCAGGCAGCCCUUCGGGGCUUGAAUACAGGUGGUGCAUGGUUGUCGUCAGCUCGUGCCGUGAGGUGUUGGGUUAAGUCCCGCAACGAGCGCAACCCCUAUUGAUUGUUGCUACCGGGUAAUGCCGGGCACUCGAUCGAAACUGCCGUUAAAAAACGGAGGAAGGUGGGGAUGACGUCAAAUCAUCAUGCUCCUUAUGUCUAGGGCUACACACGUGCUACAAUGGCUGAUACAAAGGGCAGCAAGACCGCGAGGUGGAGCGAAUCCCAGAAAGUCAGCCUUAGUUCGGAUUGCAGUCUGAAACUCGACUGCAUGAAGCUGGAAUCACUAGUAAUCGCGGAUCAGCAACGCCGCGGUGAUACGUUCCCGGGCCUUGUACACACCGCCCGUCACACCACCCGAAUCGGUUUUACCCGUAGUCGUUGGGCCAACCGCA